GAGGGAUCAUUACACAAAUAUGAAGGCGGGCUGGAACCUCUCGGGGUUACAGCCUUGCUGAAUUAUUCACCCUUGUCUUUUGCGUACUUCUUGUUUCCUUGGUGGGUUCGCCCACCACUAGGACAAACAUAAACCUUUUGUAAUUGCAAUCAGCGUCAGUAACAAAUUAAUAAUUACAACUUUCAACAACGGAUCUCUUGGUUCUGGCAUCGAUGAAGAACGCAGCGAAAUGCGAUAAGUAGUGUGAAUUGCAGAAUUCAGUGAAUCAUCGAAUCUUUGAACGCACAUUGCGCCCUUUGGUAUUCCAAAGGGCAUGCCUGUUCGAGCGUCAUUUGUACCCUCAAGCUUUGCUUGGUGUUGGGCGUCUUGUCUCUAGCUUUGCUGGAGACUCGCCUUAAAGUAAUUGGCAGCCGGCCUACUGGUUUCGGAGCGCAGCACAAGUCGCACUCUCUAUCAGCAAAGGUCUAGCAUCCAUUAAGCCUUUUUUUCAACUUUUGACCUCGGAUCAGGUAGGGAUACCCGCUGAACUUAA
rnacentral:rRNA from 3 species